AGUGAACGCUGGCGGUAGGCCUAACACAUGCAAGUCGAACGGCAGCACAGUAAGAGCUUGCUCUUACGGGUGGCGAGUGGCGGACGGGUGAGGAAUACAUCGGAAUCUACUUUUUCGUGGGGGAUAACGUAGGGAAACUUACGCUAAUACCGCAUACGACCUACGGGUGAAAGCAGGGGAUCUUCGGACCUUGCGCGAUUGAAUGAGCCGAUGUCGGAUUAGCUAGUUGGCGGGGUAAAGGCCCACCAAGGCGACGAUCCGUAGCUGGUCUGAGAGGAUGAUCAGCCACACUGGAACUGAGACACGGUCAAGACGCCUACGGGGGGCAGCAGUGGGGAAUAUUGGACAAUGGGCGCAAGCCUGAUCCAGCCAUACCGCGUGGGUGAAGAAGGCCUUCGGGUUGUAAAGCCCUUUUGUUGGGAAAGAAAAGCAGCAGGUUAAUACCCCGCUGUUCUGACGGUACCCAAAGAAUAAGCACCGGCUAACUUCGUG
rnacentral:rRNA from 1 species